GGAGGAAUAUAAUUUGAAUUUGCUGC
rnacentral:piRNA from 1 species